rnacentral:rRNA from 1 species
GACGAACGCUGGCGGCGUGCUUAAUACAUGCAAGUCGAACGGACCGAUUCCGGUAGUUUACUAUUGGGAAAGGUUAGUGGCGGACGGGUGAGUAACGCGUGGGCAAUCUGCCCCUAAGUCCGGGAUAACAGAGCGAAAGUUCUGCUAAGACCGGAUACUCUUUACUAGCCGCAUGGUUGGUAAAGGAAAGGGAACGCUUAGGGAUGAGCCCGCGUCCCAUUAGCUAGUUGGUGAGGUAACGGCCCACCAAGGCAACGAUGGGUAGCCGGCCUGAGAGGGUGGACGGCCACACUGGGACUGAGACACGGCCCAGACUCCUACGGGAGGCAGCAGUAGGGAAUCUUCCGCAAUGGGCGAAAGCCUGACGGAGCAACGCCGCGUGAGUGAUGAAGGUCUUCGGAUCGUAAAACUCUGUUAUUAGGGAAGAACAUAUGUGUAAGUAACUGUGCACAUCUUGACGGUACCUAAUCAGAAAGCCACGGCUAACUACGUG